rnacentral:rRNA from 1 species
UAGGUUUCCAGAGUAAAGCUGAUCUGCUCUGGGUAAGUCGGGGCCUAAGGCCAGGUCGAAAGACGUAACCGAUGGACAACAGGUUGAAAUUCCUGUACCUUAAGUAAACAGAACUGUGGGGACACGUGUGGAGAGCACAAGCCGGAAAUGGAAAAGCCGGUGCAAGCGAGGUAGGAGAUGAAUAGGCAAAUCCGUUCAUCAAUCCGAAGACGUGAUGCGGACCGAAUUAAGAGUAGGGAAGUGUGUGAGCCAUGCGUCAAGAAAAGCCGCUAUUGUUUUACUUAAGCCCGUACCGUAAACCGACACAGGUGGAUGAGGAGAGAAUCCUAAGGCCGACGGGAGAAGCAUUGUUAAGGAACUCGGCAAAAUGACUCCGUAACUUCGGGAGAAGGAGUGCCAGCGAGAGCUGGCCGCAGAGAAUUGGCCCAAGCAACUGUUUAGCAAAAACACAGGUCUAUGCAAAACCGUAAGGUGAAGUAUAUGGGCUGACGCCCGCCCGGUGCUGGAAGGUUAAGAGGAGAGGUUAGCGGCAACGCGAAGCUUUGAAUUUAAGCCCCAGUAAACGGCGGCCGUAACAAUAACGGUCCUAAGGUAGCGAAAUUCCUUGUCGGGUAAGUUCCGACCCGCACGAAAGGCGUAAUGAUUUGGGCACUGUCUCAACAAUGCACCCGGUGAAAUUGAAAUACCAGUGAAGAUGCUGGUUACCUGCGCCAGGACGGAAAGACCCCAUGGAGCUUUACUCCAGCUUGAUACUGGGAUUCGGUAUUGCAUGUACAGGAUAGGUGGGAGGCUAGGAAGUGAUAACGCCAGUUGUCACGGAGCCGCUGUUGGGAUACCACCCUUGCAGUAUUGGAUUUCUAACCAGCGACCAUGAACUGGUCGGGGGACAAUGUCAGGUGGGGAGUUUGACUGGGGCGGUCGCCUCCGAAAGGGUAUCGGAGGCGCUCAAAGGUUCCCUCAGAAUGGACGGAAACCAUUCGAAGAGUGCAAAGGCAGAAGGGAGCUUGACUGCGACACCGACGGGUGGAGCAGGUACGAAAGUAGGACUUAGUGAUCCGGUGGUAUAAAGUGGGAUUGCCAUCGCUCAACGGAUAAAAGCUACCCUGGGAUAACAGGCUUAUCACUCCCAAGAGUUCACAUCGACGGAGUGGUUUGGCACCUCGAUGUCGGCUCAUCGCAUCCUGGGGCUGAAGUAGGUCCCAAGGGUUGGGCUGUUCGCCCAUUAAAGCGGUACGCGAGCUGGGUUCAGAACGUCGUGAGACAGUUCGGUCCCUAUCCGGCGUGGGCGUAGGAUAUUUGAGAGGAGCUGUCCUUAGUACGAGAGGACCGGGAUGGACUGGCCGCUGGUGUAUCUGUUGCAUACCAAGUGCAUGGCAGAGUAGCCAAGCCGGGACGGGAUAAACGCUGAAGGCAUCUAAGCGUGAAGCCCCCCUCAAGAUGAGAUAUCCCUACGUAAGUAGUAAGACCCCUUGAAGACGACGAGGUAGAUAGGUCAGAGGUGGAAGUACAGUAAUGUAUGGAGCUGACUGAUACUAAUCGGUCGAGGGCAUGACCG